rnacentral:rRNA from 1 species
GUGGGGAAUAUUGGACAAUGGGCGAAAGCCUGAUCCAGCAAUGCCGCGUGAGUGAUGAAGGCCUUAGGGUUGUAAAGCUCUUUUACCCGGGAUGAUAAUGACAGUACCGGGAGAAUAAGCUCCGGCUAACUCCGUGCCAGCAGCCGCGGUAAUACGGAGGGAGCUAGCGUUGUUCGGAAUUACUGGGCGUAAUGCGCACGUAGGCGGCUGUGUAAGUUAGAGGUGAAAGCCUGGAGCUUAACUCCAGAAAUGCCUUUAAGACUGCAUCGCUUGAAUCCAGGAGAGGUGAGUGGAAUUCCGAGUGUAGAGGUGAAAUUCGUAGAUAUUCGGAAGAACACCAGUGGCGAAGGCGGCUCACUGGACUGGUAUUGACGCUGAGGUGCGAAAGCGUGGGGAGCAAACAGGAUUAGAAACCCUGGUAGUCC